UUUAAAACAACUGUUUAGCCUGAGGGAGAGCUCCAAAACACAAUGGAUUUUCAGGCUCAAAUUCUCACCUUCCUGUUGCUCAGUGUCACAGUGUCAAAUGGACAAAUUGUGCUCACUCAGUCUCCAGCAUCCCUGCCUGCUUCCCUAGGGCAGACCGUCACCAUCUCUUGCACAGCCAGCUCCAGUGUAAGCACCAGCUACUUGCACUGGUAUCAACAGAAGCCACGAGACUCUCCAAAGCUCCUGAUUUAUGGAACAUCAAACCGGGCCUCUGGAGUCCCAGCUCGCUUCAGUGGAAGUGGCUCUGGGACCUCUUACUCCCUCACAAUCUCCGGUGUGGAGGCUGAAGAUGUUGCAGCCUAUUACUGUCAGCAGGGGAGCAGUAUUCCAUUCACACAGUGAUACAGACCACAACAAAAA